UUGUUUUGAAUAAUCGACCACAAAUGCAUGAUCAUACAAACUUUCAUCAUUGAAUCAACACAAUGAAAAUCUCGUAGAUCCAAAAUCCUGAACAUGAUAACAAAAAUUAAACUCUCACAAGGAGAGACCAAACAAAACCUAAAUAAAUUGUAAACCUACUUAAAAAAAACAAUAGAUUAUUUAAGAAUAUUAAAAAGAAGAAAAGAUUAGGGCUUUUUGUAACAACCAUGAAAUUCAUAAAGUACGUAAAAAUAUAGUUACUUAAAUUAGUUAUUUAUUGUGCAACAAUACUAUUUUAUUAGUCUCGGAUUUAGAUUUAUAAUACGAGAAGAAUUAGCUAAAAAUGUUUUAGCUACAAGAAUUCUAGAAAACACGUAGUGUGAUACUGUGUGAGGCAGUCGUUUAAUUUAAAUAUGUAAUAUUAACACGAGAGCUUCGUUUAUACGAAAAUAUAAUAGCCCCGAAUAUUUAUUUAUUUAACGAGUCGUGAAUAAAUAUUACGUUUUACCCGAGACGAUUAUUUUAUUUCUAUCAUCCUAUAAAAUCAGGGCAGUGGCAUGAAAAUAUUAAAAUAUCUGAUAAUAUAUUAUUUACGAUAUUUAAUAUUCGUGUUUGGUAAAACCGAUACGAGAAUAAUAGGAAUAAGUGUAUGAAUUUAAAUACUGGCGAGACGUUGCUAAUUCGGGUGCAAGAAUUAUUACUUGGCGCUCAAGUAAGAUUACUUGAGGCCCAAGUAAUGCUUUAAUUAGUAGUAGAUUAUUGGGUCACUAAGAAAAUAUCGUGAUUAGUGGUGAUGUAUAAAAACCCAAAAAUUGGGCAAUUCAACUACCAAACAAGACAUUUGUGAGGUAGUAAAAGGGAACUCAGAGUUAACAAAGGGAUUGGCGAUUUACCAAAGGAAAGAAGACAAAUAUUUGGUGAGACUUAAAAGGAGUUACUGUGGGUUCUUUGAUAUUGCCAUCCUUAUUUGCUGCAUCUAGUGUAGUUUCCCCCUCUACACUCCCCACUUUCCACUUCAUCGGCUUCUAUGGUUCUUUUCUGUGGAACUGUUUGGGCCUUUUGAAGGGAUUUAGGUAGUCUUGAAGUUCUGGAUAGAGUGUAUGGGGUAUAAUGCGGGUUAGCUUGAGCUGGGUCUACUCUAGCUUCAUCCUCGAUAGAAAAGAUAAAUGGGUUAUCUUUGAAUGAGGAACCAAGGUUGGUCACUUGGUCACUCAUGUGCUUCGUAUAGUGCAGUGUAAUGUCACUGUGUGGAUUUGAAUUAAUGAGUGUAGUGUGUGUAUUCUUUUUCAAAACCAAACACUCCCUUGUAUUGGAAGCAUUUGCAGCAAUACCGCAAACAUUAUUCAAAAACAUAGUGAUAAAGCGAGGGUAGACUGAUACCUUUCUGAUUAUGGCAGAACGAAGUUGAGCCAUGAUCAUCUUACCCAAGUUCACCUUGUACCCGUGAACCAUUGAGUGAGUAAACUUCCAGAUGUCUUGGUAGAGAAAAUCUUCACUGUUUUUUUUGUCUCGUGCUUCGUUUUGUUUUAACCUUAUCUUUUGUUUCUGUCAUUUGAUUCUGUUCUUGUUUGCAUGUAUUGGUCGCGACCAAAUCUGUUGCAACCAUGGAUAUUACUCCUAAAUUCGUCAAAUUCAUUGGUGAAUCGGAUUCGGAAGACAAUGAAUUGGUAAGUAGGUCUGUAUUCUUGGCUGCAUGUCAUUAUUCCAUUUGAUUUGACCUUAUUUUUUGCGAUUUUUUCUUAUGUGCAGCGUAUUCCAUCGUUGUUUUGGUCGAAAGUAUCGAAUCUCUUCCCUACGGUUGUACAAUUGUUCUUCCCUAAUGGUUUCAGCGUUUGGGUGGGAUAUGACAAUAAUGAUGAUGUGUUCAAAGGCGUGGGCAAGUUUUACCGUGAGUUUGAUUUGAAAAAAGGUCAAAUUAAUUGAACUGCUUGAUAUUGAUUCAGUGGUUAGGCAUGAUGGGGUACUGAAGUUUCUAUAUUUUCUUAGCUGUGGGCAGGAAAUUGUGGAUGAAGUGGUUAGUAUAGUUUUAAUCGAACUGUAGUGUAACUAAUUUUUGAAUAAUGGUAGUGAGAUGUCCUGGUUCUUAUAGUAAUUACUUUUAUAGGACAUGCUUAUCUCUGGUAGGACUGCAGGGUGUAUGUGGACUGAAUUCAUUGUUAACAUGACAUCCUGCUGAUUGCCUUAAUUUCUUCUUAAGAGCUAAACCCUGGUGGAAUGGGUUUAACCCUGGUGAUAUGUUGGAUCUCAACUGGGGAUGGUCAGCUGGGGGGUUUGAAGAGUUCCACAUGUCCUUACUCUUCUGAUUUCCAUCAUAUUUAUGUGGUGAAAAAUCUCUAAUGUCCGGGGUAUUGGUACAUAAAGAACCAAAAACAGUUGUUUUGUUUGUCAUUGGCCUUUUUCCCUUUCUGCGGUUGGAAAGUGAGGUUGAAAAACCAUCUCCAAUUUGUCCAAUGUUUUCCAUCGUAUGUAAAUCUAGAUUCACUGUGGGAAAAUACAUUAAGAAUGGAAAACAUGAAAAGGGGUCUUGUGCAUUUUUGGUCCUUUAACAAAAACAACAAAUUAACAGAUGUUUGGUAUAUAAUAUUGGACAUCUAUGUGUGAAAACUAAAUGGGAAAAAUGCAAGAACAUAUUUGUAUUUAAGAAUAAUCAAUGUACUGGAAACAUUUAUUUCAACAUAGGCAAGAACAUAUCUCAGAAAAUUUAUUACUCAAUCAUAACAAAUUAAAUAUAAGAGAUUCCGAUAUUUAUUGCUAUGGAAUAAAAAGGUAUGAGAGUGAUGAGUUACUAACAGGCGUCAGACACACUGUCCUUGAGACCUCCAUGUUGCAUUCGGCAGUCAUCCUCCGUAUUAGGUUAAGUUAAUGAAGCUGAAACCCUAUAAAAAUGUCAAAAUAAACAGAGUAUGUUAGGCAAUAGAUUAACAUGAACAAAGAUACUGGGUUUGAAGCAAAAAAACAUGAUUACAGCGGUGAAAUAAAGAAGAAACGAAUUAAAAAAUUACGAUGGAAAGAAGGAGAUCAGAAGAUGAAAACCAUUGACAAAUCCUUCUUUAGUGUUUACAGUGGAGUCUUGAACAAGAGAUAAAGAAAGAGGAGUAUAUCUCACCAUUAACCUACAAAUUGAAGUACAGAUUUUCAAAAUUAAGGGUUUGAUUUGAUGACACGUUUCUUUAAUUCAUACAAUUAAAAUUGGUCACCUAAUGAGACGAUCUAAAGCCACAGUUGGAGCUGAAACCUCUGCAGAAAAGUUAUAAAGAGUUUGCUUUUAAAAGUGCUUUUUCUGAUUUUAUGAUGUUAACGUGGCAAUGUUUGGAGCUCAAUGGCAACAUGUUGUAAAUUUUGUUAAAUUUAGGAGGACAUAAUGGUAAAAAGCUAAUGAAAUAGCCUUCAGGCAAUAUCAUUUAAAGGGAUGAGGUUAAUUAACUGUCGGGUCGGAUUAGAAAAAGAUCCAUAUGAUGAAUGGGUAUUAGCAGGAAUUUAGAAUAUAUUGAAGAAUACUAGCAAUCUUGCCCGUGCUUCGCACACGGGUAAUGAUUAUUUUUUUAAUUUUUAAUCAAUUAUUUGUAAUCUUUGUUAAAUUGUAACACGUGGACAACAAUUAUUAUUCUUUGAACCAUAUUUUAUUAUUCAGCUUAGAUGUUUGACACUAGUUCUGAGCAUCAGUCUUCUAAUUUGAUUCCAAGAAAAAAACAAAUUUCAUGCACAUACGGGAUAUCACACAGAGGACAACUGGUUUUAUGCUUGAGCAAAAUACGGAAACCUGAACAAAACAUAAGUCUAUUCAACUGCCUACACAUUUCAAGAUAAGAACCCAGACUAAUAUACGUACAGUUCCUCGGAUAAUCUUCAAUCACGCAAAUCAAAUAAUCCACACUGGUUACAUUGCUUCCCACAGAACCUGCAGACUUAAUCACUCUAUGAACCAAUGCAUUGAAGUCUCUUUAAUUUAUUAACAGCAACACAGAGGAUCAUCUUAUUUUCAAGCAUGUGCAACACUGUUGUUUAAACUGAUAAGUAGCCAAAAACAAAAUACUUCAUCCAAACACAAAGGCAUGAAUCAAGAUUAGGGAUGCAAACAAAAUACUUCAUCCUGCGUGGGUAAUGUUAGAAUCAAGAUCCACUGGUUCUACAGUCUCCUUAACUUGCACUUUCUUUUCAUUAUCAGUCACCACCGUAUUACUUUCUUCAUCCAUAUUAGCACAUACAUGCAAUAUACAUUAUCAGUCUCCUUAAAGUUAUAAUCGAUGCACAUACAUGCAAUAUACACAGAGAUCAAUUCAUCAGAAUGAGAAAGUUGAAUGCUUCUAUCCAAGAUUUCUGAUGUUGUUUCUGAAUGAUAAAAUGAAUGAUGCUGAUAGGAACAUGUACGUCGAUUCUCCUGUUGUUCCUAUUCAGAGAACUUGUGCUAAGAUCCAGACCAGGCUGGUAAACAAGAAAAAGCAUGACAAUGUGCCACUGGUGGUGACUCCUUUCAUGCUAGAGCAAUUCAGUGUUCCAUUCCAACCUAUUCAAGUUCCUGAACCUCUACAACAGCAACAAUAUCAAGCUCAACAACAGGCUCAUCCAGACAUUCAACCAGAACAACCGCAACAACAAUCACCUCCACAAAACCCUCAACCACUACAACUUCUGCAAGACUAUCAAUCAUCCAGCCAAUCCUCACAUUACUCUCCCUACAACCCUCCUUACAAUUCACCACAUCAAUCACCUCACCAAUCAUAACACCAAUCCCCUCCACAUUACAACUUCUUCCCAGACCAACAAGCCUCCAUUCUUCCCUCUCAAUCUGAACCAACACCUUCACCUACACAUACACAUACCAUUCCUCAACCACAAUCUACCUCUCAGCCACUGCCUGCUGAUUCUGCUAUCAAUCCAGGCCUACAGGACUUCAGGGCUGAUUUACAGGUAGCUCAGGUACUUUCUAAUCUCACUGAUACCUUUAAUAUUGAUAUUGCAGAUUUUGAUUGUGAUAUUGGAUUUGAUUUCCAGACUCCCAGCAUUGAACCUGAAAACACCCAGGUUCAUAUCCAAGCUGACGUUUCCAUUUCAACAACUGAUUCUUCAUCAAACACUUCAAACAACACUACUUCAACCCCUGUUGUUAGAAAGGUAGCCCGGAAACGGAGUGGGAGUGCAAUUUUGAGAGAUCCCGCAGCUCUGUCUCAUAAGAAGCAAAGGGUGGCAGAACCAGAGACAACUGCAGCUGCAUCCAUUUCCACCCAAAAAGAUUUGGACACUGAAAUGGUAAAUAUACAGUCUCUAGAUUCAUUCUCUCCACAGAAUGCAUUUAUUGAAAUUGGCCAUCCGACCGCGGUAUCCUGUAAAGAGUCAAGCACACAACUAGCACUCACGCUAGUAAACACUGAACCUUUGUCUUCUGAUUCUUCACUUAGAGAGAGCACAGAAUUUCAAAACAUGUCAUAUGAAAAAUUUUCUGAUCACUCUUUCUUUUUGGAUCAGGAUCUACUUGGCAACCUGCAAGUACAUCAGCCUUCACAGGCAUCUGAAGGACAGUNNNNNNNNNNNNNNNNNNNNNNNNNNNNNNNNNNNNNNNNNNNNNNNNNNNNNNNNNNNNNNNNNNNNNNNNNNNNNNNNNNNNNNNNNNNNNNNNNNNNNNNNNNNNNNNNNNNNNNNNNNNNNNNNNNNNNNNNNNNNNNNNNNNNNNNNNNNNNNNNNNNNNNNNNNNNNNNNNNNNNNNNNNNNNNNNNNNNNNNNNNNNNNNNNNNNNNNNNNNNNNNNNNNNNNNNNNNNNNNNNNNNNNNNNNNNNNNNNNNNNNNNNNNUAUUUCUGAAUGAUAAGAUGAAUGAAGCUGAUAGGAACAUGUACGUCGAUUCUCCUGUUGUUCCUAUUCAGAGAACUUGUGCUAAGAUCCAGACCAGGCUGGUAAACAAGAAAAAGCAUGACAAUGUGCCACUGGUGGUGACUCCUUUCAUGCUAGAGCAAUUCAGUGUUCCAUUCCAACCUAUUCAAGUUCCUGAACCUCUACAACAGCAACAAUAUCAAGCUCAACAACAGGCUCAUCCAGACAUUCAACCAGAACAACCGCAACAACAAUCACCUCCACAAAACCCUCAACCACUACAACUUCUGCAAGACUAUCAAUCAUCCAGCCAAUCCUCACAUUACUCUCCCUACAACCCUCCUUACAAUUCACCACAUCAAUCACCUCACCAAUCUCAACACCAAUCCCCUCCACAUUACAACUUCUUCCCAGACCAACAAGCCUCCAUCCUUCCCUCUCAAUCUGAACCAACACCUUCACCUACACAUACACAUACCAUUCCUCAACCACAAUCAACCUCUCAGCCACUGCCUGCUGAUUCUGCUAUCAAUCCAGGCCUACAGGACUUCAGGGCUGAUUUACAGGUAGCUCAGGUACUUUCUAAUCUCACUGAUACCUUUAAUAUUGAUAUUGCAGAUUUUGAUUGUGAUAUUGGAUUUGAUUUCCAGACUCCCAGCAUUGAACCUGUAAACACCCAGGUUCAUAUCCAAGCUGACGUUUCCAUUUCAACAACUGAUUCUUCAUCAAACACUUCAAACAACACUACUUCAACCCCUGUUGUUAGAAAGGUAGCCCGGAAACGGAGUGGGAGUGCAAUUUUGAGAGAUCCCGCAGCUCUGUCUCAUAAGAAGCAAAGGGUGGCAGAACCAGAGACAACUGCAGCUGCAUCCAUUUCCUCCCAAAAGGAUUUGGACACUGAAACGGUAAAUAUACAGUCUCUAGAUUCAUUCUCUCCACAGAAUGCAUUUAUUGAAAUUGGCCGUCCGACCGCGGUAUCCUGUAAAGAGUCAAGCACACAACUAGCACUCACGCUAGUAAACACUGAACCUGUGUCUUUUGAUUCUUCACUUAGAGAGAGCACAGAAUUUCAAAACAUGUUAUAUGAAAAUCUUUCUGAUCACUCUUUCUUUUUGGAUCAGGAUCUACUUGGCAACCUGCAAGUACAUCCGCCUUCACAGGCAUUCGGAGGACAAUUUGUUUCUUCACCUCCUACAGUUCCAUCUCAGGGAACUAUGGUUGUAUAUACAGGUACUGGUGACGGUGUGACAAACACGAGUGAAAUCAGGCAAACACCGAGCGAAACACAUGCACGAGAGGAUAGUGAAAAAUCUUUGAGUGUUCGUGAGGUGAGUGCACACACCAACACAGAUCUGUUACAGGAACAAAUGGCUGCUCUGAAAGCUGAGAUAGAAAGGUUGAAUGCUGAGAAUGCCAGAUUCAGAAGUGGAGAGCUGGUGACUCUGCAAGAGAAAGUUGUUGAUCCCUCCUUUACUUCUCUGAAAAAGGAAUUGGAUGAUCAUGUAAAGCGCAUUCAUUCUAGGAUGGACAAAUUUGAUAAGACUCAGGAGCUCUGUCUGACAAAGCUUGACAACUUGGAGCAAACUCUGGCUCAAGUUGUUCAACACUUAAAGAUUAAUCCGUCGACAUCUCAGUCUACUCCAGAGGAUCCCUCAACUAAGGGGGAGAAGGAUAAGGAUGAUAAGGAUGACAAAGAUGAUCACAGCAAUGCUGAUGCUGCUGAUAGGAGUAAUAAGGAUGGAGAUACUGAUAGGAGUGAUAAGGCUGAUAGGAGUGAUAAGGGUGGAGAUGGAGCAAGUGAAAAGGAUUCUUCUGCAGCUGACAAGUCUAAAGGCAAAAUGCCUGAAUCUGAGAACAUCUUCACUAAUCAGGAUUAUGACAACAUUCCUGAAGAUGUUGAUGAUGAUGAUGCAUUUGAUUCUGCUAAUCUAUAUCACAUUCUAAUUGUAAAUACAAAGCAUAUUCCAAUAAAAACCUAAAUUAAUAUCAAUUAAGAUAAGCUAUAUCAUGUUUUAAUUGAAAGACUGUUAUAUAGUUUUUCAUGCCCUGUCUGAAAGGCAUAUGUUCAGCCUAUUUGUAUUUAAAGAGGUACAACUCAACUCAGAUAAGAAAGCUCAGUAAAUAGCAAGUCAUCGGAAUCCGUACGAAGAACGUCAAAUGAUUUAUGGGAAUUAUAUGUCAGAUAAAUUCCAGGAUGCUGCUGCACACCACUGAAAGAAGUUCAUUAAUAUGUUCAAGCCUCAGUGCACAAAUAAUCUUUUGUGGCACGUCCAGUGUGACAGCCCUCAAAUCCGGGGGUCUGGAUUUGUUGCCACUAAAACAAAAAUCAUUUAAAAACCUGUAUUUGUGGAAAAAAGUAAAAUAGAUAUUUGAAAAUCUGAACACUUUAAGAGAUUUUUAAAUCAAAAUCACUUUGACCCCCUAAAAACAGGAUCGCUAAUAGGUUAGAGCAUUGAAAUCAGAACCAAAACUUACAAUCUUAUUACAACUUAAACUACAUUAUCAGUUAAACUCGAUAAGAAGAGUAACUGAUAACCAAAUAAAUAAAUAUAUUUACAACUAAACUGAAAUGAAACAAUUCUAACCAGAACUACUCUUGUAAACAUCUCCCUGGCAAUCUCGCCUAGCAUCAAUCUUACGCGCAGCUUACACAAGUGAUCAUCUUAAUCCCUAGCUGAAAGGGUUAGAAAAAAAUAGCAAGGGUGAGCGAAAAUGCUCAGCAAAGUAAUAUGAAAGGCAAGAGCCACAAGAUAUGAUUUCUUUUUAAUUAAAUUAGAGUAUUUGAAAUAAAGCAAACUUUUGAAGUAAAUCAUAACAGUUGUGUAACUCAAAAUUUUAUCAAACAUAUAAAUCCAUAUGCUUGUAAAUUCACAGAAUAUAUUUGACAGUAAACAAAAGCUAUCACAAGCUUAAACAAUAAUGACCAGGUUUUAAACAACGGCGUACUAUCACAGCUGAUCAGACCAUGUGAUAAUACCGGGCAUGUUUCGUGGAAACAUGCCUCAAAAUAGGUACCAAUACAAGGCAACACAUUUGCCUUUGUCAGAAAAGUAUUAUAAACUUUCAAUAAUACCCAAAUAGCCCUCCGCUGGACCGCCGUCUCGGUCUCUUACGCAAAAACAAAGAAAUCUUCCGAUUUCUUCCAGAAGAAGAUGACUAAUCAUCUAUUUUGAAAACAAUAUUUUGCUGGUCUAUCUGGCUGGAGUAUUAAAUAGCCCCUUAUGCCAUAAAAUCAUCUUUCAAAACCUUUCUGAAAACUCUUUGUUUUCAAAUUCAAAAUACUGUCAAAAAUCAAAUUUUAUCAAAGUCUGAGUACAAUUUAAAAAUCCACCGUAAUACGGCUCAAAGGAAAAACAAAGCUAUUUAGUUAUUUAAAAUCCAGGGUUUAUGUCUGGGACAGAAGACCAGGCAUAUAUUGUAAUGUCGAAAUAUGACUGCUAUAGAGUCAUCAAUAGUUUUCAAACUGUAAAAGAACUCAGACAAUAAUUUCCAGAAAACUGAUUAAAAUAAUCUGAAAACUUUUCAAAUAAAGUUGUCACUAUUCAUAUACUAAAGACAUUCGAUAUUUUCAAUCACAGGAUAACACAUGAAAGCAUUUGCACUUUUAAAUAUCAGAAAUCGAUAAUCAUGCUUGCAGGAAGUACAAGUCAUAAAUAUAAAACUUGUAUUAUCAAAAGAGAAUUGAAAUAAUCGCUCUUUAAAUAAAAGAGAAGAAUAGGAAUACUUGCCUUUGACACAAAACAGGUGACACACAGUCACACUACUCAAAUCCUAGGAUGGCCUCAAUUGCUAACUUUGCAAUCACUACACUCUAUUGGCCUAUCUCACGGCACAAUAUCGCCUUAUCAAACUAUUUCCGACUUGGCUUGCAACAAUUCGCUUGCUUCUGAAAGUCGUUGAAUGCACGCGUCUCGAUAGACUAUAUAUAAAACAAUAUAAUAUUCAGUCGAAGAACAAUCCCGAGUGUCGGCUAAUUCGCAGAAUCGAAAUUAUAUUAAUACCCUUCGCAAUAUAAACAUAUACAAAUAAUAUAAACACAUAAUAGCGGAAAGUUAAAUAAGUAAUCACAUAACACGUAAUUUACAUGCUUUAAUAUUCAUAAAAAUAUAAUCUAAUAACUCCUGUAUAUAAUCUCAUACUUGAUUAUAUACAAACGCUAAUAGCCUCAAUAAUACAUCCCUGGAUAAAAUCAAAAUCCGAAUUACAAGCCCAACUGUAAUUCAGUCACAUCUCAAAUAAUCUUAGAAUCUCAUCAAACUAAAUUAAUAAAAUUAUAUAAUUUUGGACAUCAUGUACCUUAAAAUUGAGCAAAUCCCAAAUCAAUAACACAACAUUCUAUGUCCAAAUAAUAUAAUUUAUUCCGCUAUUUCAAUUAAAUAUACAAUUAAUCCUCAUAGCAGAAAAAAAAAAUUCUUGAAAUAAAAAUAAUUCCUCAAACCAAAGAAUCAAUCCUCAACAUAUCAAUUUAAUCCUCAGAAUAACCAAUCAUUCUUCUUUAUAAAGUGGACUAUCCCGGGGUCGCAGCUCUUCAAAAAUCAACAAUAAAAUCUCAAUUCAACUCUCUAUUUUCUGGUAGUCUUCAAAAUUCCAUAACUUAACAUCUUCACAUAAAACCUUUUUCCAUUUUAACCUCUGACAUAGUGUCUUGCUAUCCUUAAAAUUUCAGCUUAAACCGGUUAGAAUAGCUAGGUCAAAUACUCGCUCAAAGAUGGUACUCAAAAUUAUCUCAACAAGGCAAAACAGGAUUUUUAUCAUUGUCACAGCCACACUCCAAAAUUCACUAUAAAUCGUAGGUUAACUAUUUUGACAUGAAACCACCUCUGGGAUCUUCUAUACUCAGUACACUAUCAUCCCUCAAAAUUUCAAUUUGAAUUAAAGUGUUUAGCUAGGUGAAACAUUGCUCCAAAGUUCAGUGUUCAGUAAAUUCGUAGGUUAUUAACAACCCAUACUAAAACUGCCAUAACUCAUAGCUCGUUACUCCGAUUCACUCAAAAUCAGCGCCCAAGUAAACUAGAAAUCAUACACUACAACUUUCAGUAAGUAGUCGAUCAUCCAAUCACAAUAAAACUGCUCCGAAACACUGCUCCAAAAACAGGACAGCGACUGAAUUUAAAAGUUUAUACCUUUGAUUGUUAAUGUUGCAACCUCUGUUUACAAACCAACUCUCGCCAUACUCCUCUGUACCAUUUGUAAUCUUCAUCAGCCUAUAACCUCCUGCAACACUCCAUCUUCCAAGUCUGUCUCCAAUUAAAACCUCGUCACCCCGGCACCUCCAUGGGCCACCCUCCUUCAGCACUGCCAUAGCUGUGAUCAUCUCCCUAAUGUCGCCCCAAUUAUACACAGUCACACAAGAUGAACACACACACAACUGAAACCUCUCCCUCUCCUCAUCUGAACAGACCCAUAUGCACAAAUAUCCGCGACAACAGCCACCGUCUGAAAACAACCUCGCCGCCUCCGACUACACCUUCCAACCAUCAUCUUAUCUACUGGCGGCAUCCCGCCGCCUCUCCAACCACCAGUAGCCAAACUCCACCUCCCCUGUAUUGGAAUUAUCACAGCCACCCAAAACCAAUCGCCUCCAUCUCCACUGUCUAAUCAACACCAUCAACGGCCCCUUUAUCCUUGUUUUCAAACCCCCAAUCAACCACUACACCUCCACAUACAAGCAACCCCACAUACUCUGUUUAUCUCACAGGCAUAGCUGCCACUUUGAUUCAACAGACUCACCACAAAACUCUCAACCACCGCCAAACUUCCACCUUUUACGCGACGCCACCGCGUCCUACCCUCUCUGUGCUGACGACGCAGCCUCGGUGAACGCCCAACCAUCAUUCACAACCCCGCUCCACCAUUGAUUCAAGACAAAAUCUCCCAACCCCGGCAAAUACACAAAAAUUAUACACAGAGAUAUACAUAUAUAUACACAACACCCUCACCCGAUUGAAGCUUGAAAUCAGAUGGAAAGGAGAUAACAAAUCAAAACCCUAAUUUUGCUAUGCUUUUGCUCGCACAAAACCACCGCCUUUUGUUUCUGAGUACAAGUCUCUGUAUGUUUUUCUGUUUUUAGUCCUUAUCCGGUUAUAUCGUGAAUCACAGCUACGUUUCAGCCACGUCCCAGCUACGUCUCG
rnacentral:lncRNA from 1 species